GUAGGGAAUAUUGGUCAAUGGACGAAAGUCUGAACCAGCCAUUCCGCGUGCAGGAAGAAGAUUCUAUGGAUUGUAAACUGCUUUUAGCAGAGAAGAAACGCCUUCAUUGAUGAGGGUUUGACGGUAUCUGCGGAAUAAGCACCGGCUAACUCCGUGCCAGCAGCCGCGGUAAUACGGGGGGUGCAAGCGUUAUCCGGAAUCACUGGGUUUAAAGGGUGCGUAGGCGGGAAAUUAAGUCAGUGGUGAAAGUCUGUUGCUUAACGAUAGAAUUGCCGUUGAUACUGAGUUUCUUGAAUUGGGUUGAGGUUAGCGGAAUGUGACAUGUAGCGGUGAAAUGCAUAGAUAUGUCAUGGAACACCAAUUGCGAAGGCAGCUAGCUGGGCCUUGAUUGACGCUGAGGCACGAAAGCGUGGGUAGCGAACAGGAUUAGAAACCCGGGUAGUCC
rnacentral:rRNA from 1 species